UACAGAAGCCUCAAGCGUUACCCGGAUUCACUGGGCGUAAAGGGUGCGUAGGCGGUUAUAUUAGUCGGGUGUUAAAUCCUGGGGCUCAACCCCAGGCUCGCAUUCGAAACGGUAUAACUAGAAGGAGUGAGAGGUGAACAGAACUCAUGGUGUAGGGGUGAAAUCCGUUGAUAUCAUGGGGAACACCAAAGGCGAAGGCAGUGCACUGGUACGUUUCUGACGCUCAAACACGAAAGCCAGGGUAGCGAAGAGG
rnacentral:rRNA from 1 species